rnacentral:rRNA from 1 species
GGAGGAAAAGAAACUAACAAGGAUUCCCCUAGUAACGGCGAGUGAAGCGGGAAGAGCUCAAAUUUGAAAUCUGGUAGCCUUCGGUUGCCCGAGUUGUAAUCUAGAGAAGUGUUUUCCGCGUUGGCCCAUGUACAAGUCCCUUGGAACAGGGCGUCAUAGAGGGUGAGAAUCCCGUCCUUGACAUGGACCCCCAAUGCUUUGUGAUACACUUUCAACGAGUCGAGUUGUUUGGGAAUGCAGCUCAAAAUGGGUGGUGAAUUCCAUCUAAAGCUAAAUAUUGGCGAGAGACCGAUAGCGAACAAGUACCGUGAGGGAAAGAUGAAAAGCACUUUGGAAAGAGAGUUAAACAGUACGUGAAAUUGUUGAAAGGGAAACGAUUGAAGUCAGUCAUGCUCUUUGGUUUAAGCCGUUCUGCGGUGUAUAUCAUUGAGUGGGGUCAACAUCAGUUUUGACCGCUGGAAAAGGGCAGGAGGAAGGUAGCACCCCCGGGUGAACUUAUAGCCUCUUGUCGUAUACAGUGGUUGGGACUGAGGAACGCAGCAUGCCUUUUGGCCGGGAUUCGUCCACGUACAUGCUUAGGAUGUUGACAUAAUGGC